UACGGGGGGGGCAAGUGUUCUUCGGAAUUACUGGGCGUAAAGGGCUCGUAGGCGGUGAAUCGGGUUGAAAGUGAAAGUCGCCAAAAAGUGGCGGAAUGCUCUCGAAACCAAUUCACUUGAGUGAGACAGAGGAGAGUGGAAUUUCGUGUGUAGGGGUGAAAUCCGUAAAUAUACGAAGGAACGCCAAAAGCGAAGGCAGCUCUCUGGGUCGCUACCGACGCUGGGGUGCGAAAGCAUGGGGAGCGAACAGG
rnacentral:rRNA from 1 species